rnacentral:misc_RNA from 1 species
CUGCCCUCGAGCGAGUCCAGCCCCUAGGUGCCGGGCCCGCCCGGCGUUGGGGCACUACGGGAAGCCCUGUGCUGUCCCCCGUAGGCCCCGAAAUGAAGUGGCGGUCCUGCCGCGGCGCCCCCUGCGUAGUAUCACAGCUCGCUUCGGGACCCGGUGGAGGCCUGCCGUCAAACCUUACUCUCUAA